GACGAACGCUGGCGGCGUGCUUAACACAUGCAAGUCGAACGGAAAGGCCCUGCUUUUGUGGGGUGCUCGAGUGGCGAACGGGUGAGUAACACGUGAGUAACCUGCCCUUGACUUUGGGAUAACUUCAGGAAACUGGGGCUCAUACCCGAUAGGAGCUCCUGCUGCAUGGUGGGGGUUGGAAAGAUUCGGCGGUUGGGGAUGGACUCGCGGCUUAUCAGCUUGUUGGUGGGGUAGUGGCUUACCAAGGCUUUGACGGGUAGCCGGCCUGAGAGGGUGACUGGCCACAUUGGGACUGAGAUACGGCCCAGACUCCUACGGGAGGCAGCAGUGGGGAAUAUUGCACAAUGGGCGGAAGCCUGAUGCAGCAACGCCGCGUGCGGGAUGACGGCCUUCGGGUUGUAAACCGCUUUCGCCUGUGACGAAGCGUGAGUGACGGUAAUGGGUAAAGAAGCACCGGCUAACUACGUG
rnacentral:rRNA from 1 species